AUUGAACGCUGGCGGCAUGCCUAACACAUGCAAGUCGAACGGCAGCACAGUAAAGAUUUCGGUCUUUAUGGGUGGCGAGUGGCGGACGGGUGAGUAAUGCGUAGGAAUCUGUCCUGGAGAGUAGGAUAACCCGAGGAAACUCGGGCUAAUACUGCAUGAUAUCGAGAGAUCAAAGGCAGGGGACCCUUCGGGGCCUUGCGCUCUAGGAUGAGCCUACGUCGGAUUAGCUAGUUGGUGGGGUAAAGGCCUACCAAGGCGACGAUCCGUAGCUGGUCUGAGAGGAUGACUAGCCACACUGGGACUGAGACACGGCCCAGACUCCUACGGGAGGCAGCAGUGGGGAAUCUUGGACAAUGGGGGAAACCCUGAUCCAGCGAUGCCGCGUGUGUGAAGAAGGCCUUCGGGUUGUAAAGCACUUUAGUUGGGGAAGAAAAGUAAUGAGUGAAUAACUGAUUGCUCUGACGGUACCCAAAGAAUAAGCACCGGCUAACUCUGUGCCAGCCGCCGCAGUAA
rnacentral:rRNA from 1 species